rnacentral:misc_RNA from 1 species
ACAAACUUGGUCAUUUAGAGGAAGUAAAAGUCGUAACAAGGUCUCCGUUGGUGAACCAGCGGAGGGAUCAUUACUUAUUUCCUGGAGCGCUCCUCCCCGGGGGAGCCGCGCCGGAAACACCCCGUGAACCAUACCAUUGUUGCCUCGGCGUGGCGUGGCCCCUAACAGGGCCCGUCCGCCGGUGGACCUAAAAACACUCUUUACCCACUGGAACUCUGAUUUAGUGAAAACAAAUGUGAUAAAACUUUCAACAACGGAUCUCUUGGCUCCAGCAUCGAUGAAGAACGCAGC